rnacentral:lncRNA from 1 species
CCCAACUCACCACUAGAGGGAAAUGUUGAUCUUUUUACUGAGCAGUCACAGUUCGGUCUGGAAAUUUCUUCGCGCAGUGAUGGGAGUGAAAAGGCCACGGCCUGAGUCAUCUUUCCCUUCCUGGAGUGUAGAGGACUGCAGCCCGGAGGAAUCUUGCAGCCCAGAAGAAUCUUGCAGCCCAUGCCGGUCAAGUCCAUCCGACCGCUCCCUUUGCAUGCUUAAAAAACACAAGACAUCCAAGGACAGUCGAUGCUUGCUUACUUCGUGGGACACGGAAGAUGAAAAGCAAAGUGCUAGAGUUUCUCAAACCAACGUGACAGCGUAA